rnacentral:rRNA from 1 species
CCUACGGGGUGCAGCAGUAGGGAAUUUUCGUCAAUGGGCGCAAGCCUGAACGAGCAAUGCCGCGUGAACGAGGAAGGUCUUCGGAUCGUAAAGUUCUGUUGAAGGGGAAAAAGAGCGGAGAGAGGAAAUGGUCUCCGAUUGAUAUUACCCUUCGAGGAAGUCACGGCUAACUACGUGCCAGCAGCCGCGGUAAUACGUAGGUGGCGAGCGUUAUCCGGAAUGAUUGGGCGUAAAGGGUGCGUAGGCGGCCUGCUAAGUCUGGAGUGAAAGGCUACGGCUCAACCGUAGUAAGCCUUUGAAACUGGGGAACUUGAGUGCAGGAGAGGAGAGUGGAAUUCCUAGUGUAGCGGUGAAAUGCGUAGAUAUUAGGAGGAACACCAGUUGUGAAGGCGGCUCUCUGGACUGUAACUGACACUGAGGCACGAAAGCGUGGGGAGCAAACAGGAUUAGAUACCCUUGUAGUC